GUGCGUAACAGCUCACUAGUCGAGUGACCCUGCGCCGAAAAUGUACCGGGGCUAAGCAUACUACCGAAGCUGCGGAUUCAACUUCAGAGUUGAGUGGUAGGGGAGCGUUGCAUGCACGUAGAAGCCGUACCGUAAGGAGCGGUGGAGAGCAUGGAAGAGAGAAUGCCGGUGUGAGUAGCGAGAUGUAGGUGAGAAUCCUACACACCGAUAGCCCAAGGAUUCCAGGGGAAGGUUCGUCCGCCCUGGGUAAGUCGGGACCUAAGGCGAGGCUGAAAAGCGUAGUCGAUGGAAAACAGGUUGAUAUUCCUGUACCCGCGCAUUGAGUGAUGGAGUGACAAAGAAGGCUAACCGGACCGGUAAAUGGAUUCCGGAUCAAGCGAGGUAGGAGGCAGUCAGGCAAAUCCGGCUGUCAAUCUGAAGGCGUGAUGAGGAGCGAACGGGCGACCCAGUAGCGAAGACGGCGAUGCCAGCUUUCAAGAAAAGCUUCUAGCGCAAAUCAAUGAGCGGCCCGUACCAAAACCGACACAGGUGGUCAAGGCGAGAAGCCUAAGGUGAGCGAGAGAACUGUUGCCAAGGAACUCGGCAAAAUAGCCCCGUACGUUCGCAAGAAGGGGCGCUCGAAAGAGCCGCAGUGAAGAGGCCCAAGCGACUGUUUAACUAAAACACAGCUCUCUGCAAAGUCGCAAGACGAAGUAUAGGGGGUGACGCCUGCCCGGUGCUGGAAGGUUAAGAGGAUUUGUCAUCCGCAAGGAGAAGCAAUGAAUUGAAGCCCCAGUGAACGGCGGCCGUAACUAUAACGGUCCUAAGGUAGCGAAAUUCCUUGUCAGGUAAGUUCUGACCCGCACGAAAGGCGUAAUGAUUUGGGCGCUGUCUCGGCAGCAGACUCGGUGAAAUCUUAGUACCUGUGAAGAUGCAGGUUACCCGCAACUAGACGGAAAGACCCCAUGGAGCUUUACUGUAGCCUGAUAUUGAGUUUUGAUCAAGUAUGUACAGGAUAGGUGGGAGACGAAGAAGUUGGGACGUCAGUUUCAAUGGAGUCGACGUUGGGAUACCACUCUUAGUUGAUUGAAAUUCUAACCUAUAUCCGUGAACCGGGUAAGGGACAGUGUCAGGUGGGCAGUUUGACUGGGGCGGUCGCCUCCUAAAGAGUAACGGAGGCGCCCAAAGGUACCCUCAGAUUGGUUGGAAAUCAAUCGACGAGCGCAAAUGCAGAAGGGUGCUUGACUGCAAGACAGACAAGUCGAGCAGGGACGAAAGUCGGGAUUAGUGAUCCGGCGGUGCAGAAUGGAAUGGCCGUCGCUUAACGGAUAAAAGCUACCCUGGGGAUAACAGGCUGAUCUCGCCCAAGAGUUCACAUCGACGGCGAGGUUUGGCACCUCGAUGUCGGCUCAUCGCAUCCUGGAGCUGAAUUCGGUUCCAAGGGUUGGGCUGUCCGCCCAUUAAAGCGGUACGCGAGCUGGGUUCAGAACGUCGUGAGACAGUUCGGUCCCUAUCUGUUGUGGGCGUAGGAAAUUUGAGGAGAGCUGUCCUUAGUACGAGAGGACCGGGAUGGACCCACCGCUGGUGCACCAGUUGUAUCGCCAGAUGCAUAGCUGGGUAGCUAAGUGGGGAACGGAUAAACGCUGAAGGCAUCUAAGCGUGAAACCGACUCCGAGAUGAGAUUUCCCAUUUCCUAGAGAAAGUAAGACCCCUUGA
rnacentral:rRNA from 1 species